rnacentral:rRNA from 1 species
AGCGGAGGAAAAGAAACUAACAAGGAUUCCCCUAGUAACUGCGAGUGAAGCGGGAAAAGCUCAAAUUUAAAAUCUGGCAGUCUCACUGUCCGAGUUGUAAUCUGGAGAAGCAUUUUCUGUGCUAGACCGUGUACAAGUCUCUUGGAAUAGAGCGUCAUAGAGGGUGAGAAUCCCGUCCAUGACACGGAUUACUAGUGCUUUGUGAUAUGCUCUCGAAGAGUCGAGUUGUUUGGGAAUGCAGCUCAAAAUGGGUGGUAAAUUCCAUCUAAAGCUAAAUAUUGGCGAGAGACCGAUAGCGAACAAGUACCGUGAGGGAAAGAUGAAAAGCACUUUGGAAAGAGAGUUAAACAGUACGUGAAAUUGUUGAAAGGGAAACGCUUGAAGUCAGUCGCGUUGUCUGAGACUCAGCCUUGCUUGCAUGGUGUACUUCUCAGUUAACGGGUCAACAUCAAUUUCAGUUGGUGGAUAAAGGCAUUGGGAAUGUGGCACCUUCGGGUGUGUUAUAGCCCUUUGUUGCAUACACUGACCGGGAUUGAGGAACGCAGCACGCCACUAAGGCCAGGGGUUCGCCCCAUGUAACGUGCUUAGGAUGUUGGCAUAAUGGCUUUAAGCGACCCGUCUU